GAUGAACGCUGGCGGCGUGCCUAAUACAUGCAAGUCGAGCGAACAGACAAGGAGCUUGCUCCUUUGACGUUAGCGGCGGACGGGUGAGUAACACGUGGGUAACCUACCUAUAAGACUGGGAUAACUUCGGGAAACCGGAGCUAAUACCGGAUAAUAUUUCGAGCCGCAUGGUUCGAUAGUGAAAGAUGGUUUUGCUAUCACUUAUAGAUGGACCCGCGCCGUAUUAGCUAGCUGGUAAGGUAACGGCUUACCAAGGCGACGAUACGUAGCCGACCUGAGAGGGUGAUCGGCCACACUGGAACUGAGACACGGUCCAGACUCCUACGGGAGGCAGCAGUAGAGAAUCUUCCGCAAUGGGCGAAAGCCUGACGGAGCAACGCCGCGUGAGUGAUGAAGGUCUUCGGAUCGUAAAACUCUGUUAUUAGGGAAGAACAUACGUGUAAGUAACUAUGCACGUCUUGACGGUACCUAAUCAGAAAGCCACGGCUAACUACGUGCCAGCAGCCGCGGUAAUACGUAGGUGGCAAGCGUUAUCCGGAAUUAUUGGGCGUAAAGCGCGCGUAGGCGGUUUUUUAAGUCUGAUGUGAAAGCCCACGGCUCAACCGUGGAGGGUCAUUGGAAACUGGAAAACUUGAGUGCAGAAGAGGAAAGUGGAAUUCCAUGUGUAGCGGUGAAAUGCGCAGAGAUAUGGAGGAACACCAGUGGCGAAGGCGACUUUCUGGUCUGUAACUGACGCUGAUGUGCGAAAGCGUGGGGAUCAAACAGGAUUAGAUACCCUGGUAGUCCACGCCGUAAACGAUGAGUGCUAAGUGUUAGGGGGUUUCCGCCCCUUAGUGCUGCAGCUAACGCAUUAAGCACUCCGCCUGGGGAGUACGACCGCAAGGUUGAAACUCAAAGGAAUUGACGGGGACCCGCACAAGCGGUGGAGCAUGUGGUUUAAUUCGAAGCAACGCGAAGAACCUUACCAAAUCUUGACAUCCUUUGACAACUCUAGAGAUAGAGCUUUCCCCUUCGGGGGACAAAGUGACAGGUGGUGCAUGGUUGUCGUCAGCUCGUGUCGUGAGAUGUUGGGUUAAGUCCCGCAACGAGCGCAACCCUUAAGCUUAGUUGCCAUCAUUAAGUUGGGCACUCUAAGUUGACUGCCGGUGACAAACCGGAGGAAGGUGGGGAUGACGUCAAAUCAUCAUGCCCCUUAUGAUUUGGGCUACACACGUGCUACAAUGGACAAUACAAAGGGCAGCGAAACCGCGAGGUCAAGCAAAUCCCAUAAAGUUGUUCUCAGUUCGGAUUGUAGUCUGCAACUCGACUACAUGAAGCUGGAAUCGCUAGUAAUCGUAGAUCAGCAUGCUACGGUGAAUACGUUCCCGGGUCU
rnacentral:rRNA from 1 species